rnacentral:rRNA from 1 species
GAUGAACGCUGGCGGCGUGCUUAACACAUGCAAGUCGAACGAAGCAUUUGCGACAGAUUUUUUCGGAAUGAAGUUGCUUAUGACUGAGUGGCGGACGGGUGAGUAACGCGUGGGUAACCUGCCUUGUACUGGGGGAUAGCAGCUGGAAACGGCUGGUAAUACCGCAUAAGCGCACAAUGUUGCAUGACAUGGUGUGAAAAACUCCGGUGGUAUAAGAUGGACCCGCGUCUGAUUAGCUAGUUGGUGAGAUAACAGCCCACCAAGGCGACGAUCAGUAGCCGACCUGAGAGGGUGACCGGCCACAUUGGGACUGAGACACGGCCCAGACUCCUACGGGAGGCAGCAGUGGGGAAUAUUGCACAAUGGAGGAAACUCUGAUGCAGCGACGCCGCGUGAGUGAAGAAGUAAUUCGUGAUGUAAAGCUCUAUCAGCAGGGAAGAUAGUGACGGUACCUGACUAAGAAGCGCCGGCUAAAUACGUG